rnacentral:rRNA from 1 species
GAUGAACGCUAGCGGCGUGCUUAAUACAUGCAAGUCGAACGGAGAAUGUAGCAAUACGUUCUUAGUGGCGAACGGGUGAGUAACGCGUUGGUGACCUACCCCGAAGAGAGGGAUACCAAUCCGAAAGGAUUGUUAAUACCUCAUGUGAUCAUUGGUUUUAGAAUCUGAUGAUUAAAUGGAGAAUUUCGCUUCGGGAGGGACCUGCGUACCAUCAGCUAGUUGGUGAGGUACUGGCUCACCAAGGCGAUAACGGUUAGGGGACCUGAGAGGGUGGCCCCCCACAAUGGAACUGAAACACGGUCCAUACACCUACGGGUGGCAGCAGUAGGGAAUAUUGGUAAUGGGCGAAAGCCUGAACCAGCAACGCCGCGUGAGUGAUGAAGGCCUUCGGGUUGUAAAACUCUUUUUAUAGGGACGAGGAAGGACGGUACCUAUAGAAUAAGCUUCGGCUAACUACGUGCCAGCCGCCGCAGUAA